AUUGAACGCUGGCGGCAGGCCUAACACAUGCAAGUCGAGCGGAUGAAGGGAGCUUGCUCCUGGAUUCAGCGGCGGACGGGUGAGUAAUGCCUAGGAAUCUGCCUGGUAGUGGGGGAUAACGUCCGGAAACGGGCGCUAAUACCGCAUACGUCCUGAUGGAGCAAGUGGGGGAUCUUCGGACCUCACGCUAUCAGAUGAGCCUAGGCCGGAUUAGCUAGUUGGUGGGGUAAAGGCCUACCAAGGCGGCGAUCCGUAACUGGUCUGAGGGGAUGAUCGGUCACACGGGAGGUGAGACACGGUCCAGACUACUACGGGAGGCAGCAGUGGGGAAUGUUGGACAAUGGGCGAAAGCCUGAUCCAGCCAUGGCGCGUGUGUGAAGAAGGUCUUCGGAUUGUAAAGCACGUUAAGUUGGGAGGAAGGGCAGUAAGUUGAUACCUUGCUGUUUUGACGUUACCGAGAGAAUAAGCACCGGCUAACUUCGUG
rnacentral:rRNA from 1 species